rnacentral:lncRNA from 1 species
GGUGGGUCUUCGAUUUUUGAUUUCAAAAUUUAUUCAGAAUAUCUUGAAUUACUACAGACUCUGCCCAGCUCAGCUGGCAUCGAAUUCGGUCUGACUGAUAAUCAGCUUUAUCUUAUAAUGUCGGAUGUUGCCGACCGUCCCCCGCCCUUCUCUUUUUCGAGUUUUUUUCAUCCUCCGACCCCGCCCGAAGGCCCGAGGAUGGUGGUUCUUCAACCUUCGAAAAGGUCUUUCAUUCAUUACCGAUCUUCUAUC